CACGUAGGAGGCAAGCGUUGUCCGGAAUUACUGGGCGUAAAGCGCGUGUAGGUGGUGGGACAAGUCUGCUGUGAAAGCGCCUGGCUUAACCGGGCGAGGUCGGCGGAAACUGUCCGACUCGAGGACGGUAGAGGGGGGUGGAAUUCCCGGUGUAGUGGUGAAAUGCGUAGAGAUCGGGAGGAACACCUGUGGCGAAGGCGGCCCCCUGGGCCGGCCCUGACACUGAGACGCGAAGGCGUGGGGAGCGAACGGG
rnacentral:rRNA from 1 species